rnacentral:rRNA from 1 species
AUCGGUGGUGUCCACCUCUUCCCAUUCCGAACAGAGAAGUUAAGCCCACCAGAGCCGAUGGUACUGCGGUAACACGUGGGAGAGUAGGUC